rnacentral:lncRNA from 1 species
GACCACCGAUCCCCCGCCGGGAGCUCACUUACAGGCCCUCCAAGCAGUACAACGAGAGGUCUGGAAGCCACUGGCCGCUGCCUAUCAGGACCAGCUGGACCAGCCAGUGAUACCACACCCCUUCCGUGUCGGCGACACCGUGUGGGUACGCCGGCACCAGACUAAGAACUUGGAACCUCGCUGGAAAGGACCCUACACCGUCCUGCUGACCACCCCCACCGCUCUCAAAGUAGACGGCAUCGCUGCGUGGAUCCACGCCGCUCACGUAAAAGCGGCGACAACCCCUCCGGCCGGAACAGCAUCAGGACCGACAUGGAAGGUCCAGCGUUCUCAAAACCCCUUAAAGAUAAGAUUAACCCGUGGGGCCCCCUAAUAAUCCUGGGGAUCUUAAUAAGGGCAGGAGUAUCAGUACAACAUGACAGCCCUCAUCAGGUCUUCAAUGUUACUUGGAGAGUUACCAACUUAAUGACAGGACAAACAGCUAAUGCUACCUCCCUCCUGGGGACAAUGACCGAUGCCUUUCCUAAACUGUACUUUGACUUGUGCGAUUUAAUAGGGGACGACUGGGAUGAGACUGGACUCGGGUGUCGCACUCCCGGGGGAAGAAAAAGGGCAAGAACAUUUGACUUCUAUGUUUGCCCCGGGCAUACUGUACCAACAGGGUGUGGAGGGCCGAGAGAGGGCUACUGUGGCAAAUGGGGCUGUGAGACCACUGGACAGGCAUACUGGAAGCCAUCAUCAUCAUGGGACCUAAUUUCCCUUAAGCGAGGAAACACCCCUCGGAAUCAGGGCCCCUGUUAUGAUUCCUCAGCGGUCUCCAGUGACAUCAAGGGCGCCACACCGGGGGGUCGAUGCAAUCCCCUAGUCCUGGAAUUCACUGACGCGGGCAAAAAGGCCAGCUGGGAUGGCCCCAAAGUAUGGGGACUAAGACUGUACCGAUCCACAGGGACCGACCCGGUGACCCGGUUCUCUUUGACCCGCCAGGUCCUCAAUAUAGGGCCCCGCGUCCCCAUUGGGCCUAAUCCCGUGAUCACUGACCAGUUACCCCCCUCCCGACCCGUGCAGAUCAUGCUCCCCAGGCCUCCUCAGCCUCCUCCUCCAGGCGCAGCCUCUAUAGUCCCUGAGACUGCCCCACCUUCUCAACAACCUGGGACGGGAGACAGGCUGCUAAACCUGGUAGAUGGAGCCUACCAAGCUCUCAACCUCACCAGUCCCGACAAAACCCAAGAGUGCUGGUUGUGUCUGGUAGCGGGACCCCCCUACUACGAAGGGGUUGCCGUCCUAGGUACUUAUUCCAACCAUACCUCUGCCCCAGCUAACUGCUCCGUGGCCUCCCAACACAAGCUGACCCUGUCCGAAGUGACCGGACAGGGACUCUGCGUAGGAGCAGUUCCCAAAACCCAUCAGGCCCUGUGUAAUACCACCCAAAAGACGAGCGACGGGUCCUACUAUCUGGCUGCUCCCGCCGGGACCAUUUGGGCUUGCAACACCGGGCUCACUCCCUGCCUAUCUACCACUGUACUCGACCUCACCACCGAUUACUGUGUCCUGGUUGAGCUCUGGCCAAAGGUGACCUACCACUCCCCUGGUUAUGUUUAUGGCCAGUUUGAGAGAAAAACCAAAUAUAAAAGAGAGCCGGUGUCAUUAACUCUGGCCCUGCUGUUGGGAGGACUUACUAUGGGCGGCAUAGCUGCAGGAGUAGGAACCGGGACUACAGCCCUAGUGGCCACCAAACAAUUCGAGCAGCUCCAGGCAGCCAUACAUACAGACCUUGGGGCUUUAGAAAAGUCAGUCAGUGCCCUAGAAAAGUCUCUGACCUCGUUGUCUGAGGUGGUCCUACAGAACCGGAGGAGAUUAGAUCUACUGUUCCUAAAA